ACUGCUUCUUGGCCUUUUGGCUAAGAUCAAAUGUAAUAUCUGUUCUUAUCAAUUUAUCUUUCUUUUUCUUGGCUUCCUCUU
rnacentral:snRNA from 1 species